AAAACAAAAAUUUAAUCAAAAUCAAAUCUCCAAUUGAGCCUAAUGGUCUUCUAGUGUUGCCAAGUGCUAAGGGUCUAGGUACGUGUCUACUCACCGUUCCCAAAACUCAUUCUCCUCUUUGCUGUUUUGAUUCUCCUUUCCUUCCUAUUCGCUAGCUGAGGAAGAUUUCAUGUCUCAUCUCUAAGGGUUUCAGAGCACUGAUCUUCCCUCCUCCCUUCCCCAUACUUCUGGGUACAUCAGACCAAACUGUCCCAAAUCUCCUCCAGAGGGAAUAUCUACUGAGAAAUCCUCAUGAGGCCUCUCUCUCGAGUUCCUUUACAGACUCCAGGAAGAACACAGAAUAUCUCAGUGUCUUCUCUGCUGGGAGCCAACUCCCUCACCCCCAGAGAGGUCUUCACCAACAGAUCAAUAAAGGAAACGCGUCAGCUGGGUGACCGUGGUUGGGAAAAAGAGGGGUGAACAAGCUCAGCACGGUCUGUGGAGGUGUCGGCCUUGCUCCCCACGGCCUUCUCUGUUUCAGACUUGACAAAAUGUCUUUCUUCUCAUCAUGGAUGAAAGCUAUUUUCGUGCUAGCCUUGCUAUUUCCUCUUCAUUCUGAAUCUGGGCUUUCCCGGAAGCGAAAACCUAUACCAGAA
rnacentral:lncRNA from 1 species